ACGUACACUCCUACGGGAGGCAGCAGUGGGGAAUAUUGGACAAUGGGCGCAAGCCUGAUCCAGCCAUGCCGCGUGAGUGAUGAAGGCCCUAGGGUUGUAAAGCUCUUUCACCGGUGAAGAUAAUGACGGUAACCGGAGAAGAAGCCCCGGCUAACUUCGUGCCAGCAGCCGCGGUAAUACGAAGGGGGCUAGCGUUGUUCGGAUUUACUGGGCGUAAAGCGCACGUAGGCGGACUAUUAAGUCAGGGGUGAAAUCCCGGGGCUCAACCCCGGAACUGCCUUUGAUACUGGUAGUCUUGAGUUCGAGAGAGGUGAGUGGAAUUCCGAGUGUAGAGGUGAAAUUCGUAGAUAUUCGGAGGAACACCAGUGGCGAAGGCGGCUCACUGGCUCGAUACUGACGCUGAGGUGCGAAAGCGUGGCGAGCAAACAGGAUUAGAAACCCGUGUAGUCCCA
rnacentral:rRNA from 1 species